GACGAACGCUGGCGGCGUGCUUAACACAUGCAAGUCGAACGGAAAGGCCCUGCUUUUGUGGGGUGCUCGAGUGGCGAACGGGUGAGUAACACGUGAGUAACCUGCCCUUGACUUUGGGAUAACUUCAGGAAACUGGGGCUAAUACCGGAUAGGAGCUCCUGCUGCAUGGUGGGGGUUGGAAAGUUUCGGCGGUUGGGGAUGGACUCGCGGCUUAUCAGCUUGUUGGUGGGGUAGUGGCUUACCAAGGCUUUGACGGGUAGCCGGCCUGAGAGGGUGACCGGCCACAUUGGGACUGAGAUACGGCCCAGACUCCUACGGGAGGCAGCAGUGGGGAAUAUUGCACAAUGGGCGGAAGCCUGAUGCAGCAACGCCGCGUGCGGGAUGACGGCCUUCGGGUUGUAAACCGCUUUCGCCUGUGACGAAGCGUGAGUGACGGUAAUGGGUAAAGAAGCACCGGCUAACUACGUGCCAGCAGCCGCGGUGAUACGUAGGGUGCGAGCGUUGUCCAGAUUUAUUGGGCGUAAAGGGCUCGUAGGUGGUUGAUCGCGUCGGAAGUGUAAUCUUGGGGCUUAACCCUGAGCGUGCUUUCGAUACGGGUUGACUUGAGGAAGGUAGGGGAGAAUGGAAUUCCUGGUGGAGCGGUGGAAUGCGCAGAUAUCAGGAGGAACACCAGUGGCGAAGGCGGUUCUCUGGGCCUUUCCUGACGCUGAGGAGCGAAAGCGUGGGGAGCGAACAGGCUUAGAUACCCUGGUAGUCCACGCUGUAAACGGUGGGUACUAGGUGUGGGGUCCAUUCCACGGGUUCCGUGCCGUAGCUAACGCUUUAAGUACCCCGCCUGGGGAGUACGGCCGCAAGGCUAAAACUCAAAGGAAUUGACGGGGCCCCGCACAAGCGGCGGAGCAUGCGGAUUAAUUCGAUGCAACGCGUAGAACCUUACCUGGGUUUGACAUGGAUCGGGAGCGCUCAGAGAUGGGUGUGCCUCUUUUGGGGUCGGUUCACAGGUGGUGCAUGGCUGUCGUCAGCUCGUGUCGUGAGAUGUUGGGUUAAGUCCCGCAACGAGCGCAACCCUUGUUCACUGUUGCCAGCACGUUAUGGUGGGGACUCAGUGGAGACCGCCGGGGUCAACUCGGAGGAAGGUGGGGAUGACGUCAAGUCAUCAUGCCCCUUAUGUCCAGGGCUUCACGCAUGCUACAAUGGCUGGUACAGAGAGUGGCGAGCCUGUGAGGGUGAGCGAAUCUCGGAAAGCCGGUCUCAGUUCGGAUUGGGGUCUGCAACUCGACCUCAUGAAGUCGGAGUCGCUAGUAAUCGCAGAUCAGCAACGCUGCGGUGAAUACGUUCCCGGG
rnacentral:rRNA from 1 species